CAAGGUUAAAACUCAAAUGAAUUGACGGGGGCCCGCACAAGCGGUGGAGCAUGUGGUUUAAUUCGAUGCAACGCGAAGAACCUUACCUACUCUUGACAUCCAGAGAACUUANCAGAGAUGCUUUGGUGCCUUCGGGAACUCUGAGACAGGUGCUGCAUGGCUGUCGUCAGCUCGUGUUGUGAAAUGUUGGGUUAAGUCCCGCAACGAGCGCAACCCUUAUCCUUUGUUGCCAGCGGUUAGGCCGGGAACUCAAAGGAGACUGCCAGUGAUAAACUGGAGGAAGGUGGGGAUGACGUCAAGUCAUCAUGGCCCUUACGAGUAGGGCUACACACGUGCUACAAUGGCGCAUACAAAGAGAAGCGACCUCGCGAGAGCAAGCGGACCUCAUAAAGUGCGUCGUAGUCCGGAUUGGAGUCUGCAACUCGACUCCAUGAAGUCGGAAUCG
rnacentral:rRNA from 2 species